UUCUCCAGAAUUGAUGGGGAGAGACUGGCACAGCUCAACAAAGUCUUAAGAUGCAUUCGAUUAGGCAAUUUCAGAUAUGCCCAUAAGCCACUCAACCUAGGAGAAUUGUCUGGCAAUCAUUUCAUUAUCAUAUUAAGAAUGAUGAAGGGGAGUAGAGAGCAGAUCAAUAGGGCAAUGACAUCCCUGAGUGAUGUUGGUUUCAUCAAUUACUUUGGUAUGCAGCGAUUUGGUAAUUCACUCAUCUCUACAUACCAUGUAGGAAGGUAAACUCAUAGCCAUCUCUUUUACAGUUUCUUUCACUUCGCUUACUUUCACAUGUAUAUACAUGUCUUAUUAACUGUAUUGAUUUCAAUUGAUAUCAAGUAUGGAAAGCCACUGGUGUCAUUGUUCAUCAUGUAACAGAAUUUUACCUGGUCAUUUGUAAAAGAAAAAUCAAAAUGAUCAAGGCAUGACCAUAUGGUAUCCCCUGCGAUCACUAUUGAAGCUAGAUGAUGAUAUUAUAGAAACGCUUGCUUUUCAUAGAUGAGAUUGAUUAAUAAAUGAUAAUGAUAAUCCACUUUUAUAUAGCGCUUUAUACAUCGGAACGACGUCUCUAUAAGGCACUGUACGGAUAUAUGAUUACCCCGGUCAUGGGAUCCUGGCAUGCCCGCAUACAAUGUAUGCACUUUCUCCGCUCCCUGGGGAGCAUUCCAACAAGAGUUCAAAGACUCCAUUGCUAGGCAUACUACAUAGGCUUUUUCAUCCUACCGUGUUCCCAUUUAACACCUGGGUGUGGAUGGAUGCCUUGCCAAAGGAUGCUAGGCAAUGGUGGGAUUCAUAAUACCAUCAGUGAGUAUAAGGAACAGCAGCAUUCCUCUGGUCACAAUUGCAGACUUUGGCAUGUAUUCUGACCUCUGGUUAAACUGGAACCAUGGUCUGAACAUGAGGUUUAAAUAUUGGAAGCCACUUCCAACAUAAAUCUCUGCUUCUAGAUAUCUAGUCAGUCAGUGCAUCUGGCACUCAAACCAUUCAGAACUCUCUGAAAUGAUGAAUAUUUUCUUCUCCAUUAUCGCAAGAGAAAACAUAAAUACAUUUUAAAUAAAUUCUAUCUUCUUUGCUGUUCAUGAUUUUAGCAUAGACUUAUACCCUAGCUGAAGUGGAAUCAUAUUAUAGGAUACAGGCAAGAAGGUUUAUUUAUUGAUUCAAUCAGGAUGGUUCCAAGAAGCAAGCCGAAAAAAUAGUUGGUACAAUAUUAAGCUUGGCUUGAAUACUUUGCUUUCCUUCAAAAGGCAAUAUUGGUAACCCUUGAAACUCCUUUGACCCCACCUCAUUCAAACUAGCCCUUAUCAGCUUGUAAUGGCCAGCUUCCAUAUCUUAUAAAUGCUCAAUCGAUUUUGCCUGAUGUCUCAAAAUAUAGGCCUUGCAGGUAUUAAGAACCUGAAAAUGCAUAGCUUUACUAUGCACUGUGCAUAUUGACUUCCUUUUACUUUGUAUAACUAGGAUGUAGGUGGAGUUAUAAAUGCUAACAUGUAAAAAUCAUGGCUUAAUACCAGCUGGAAAUUUUGGUGAUAAUGUUAUUUGAUGUGACACAAACUGUUUUCAUAAAAAUAAAUGUGAAUUUACAUUUUGACUUUCCUACCUCAACAGAAUCAGUCAAGAAAAGAUCUUUCAGUCAGAAUGAAGAUUAUGCAUAAUUGGAUCAGAGAUUGUAAAAACAUAACCAAAGAAAGGGUUUAUCCGAUAUAGGUAUGAAUAUCAUACUAAUAUGAAUGUAACUGAGAAUCUUUAAGCCAAUCAUUGAAUAAUUCAAAAACUUCAUGCAAUAUAGGUAUAAACAUAAUCUUUUUACAAGCCAGUCAUUAAAUAAUUUUAAAAAGUUCAGCUAGAUGAUCCAUGUGCAACUAUGUGUAUGAGUAACAAGGUGUUUGAGCUGUAACCGGAGAUCUUGCCUUCGGGGGAAUGGGUGUGGAAGAAAUGAUUAAUACCAGAGAGAUUUCAAGUGGCAUUGUCAAGGAAACAUACAGAAAAAAGUUAUGAAACAAAAUGUUCUAUUUCCAUAUGAAAAGAGAUAAUGUUCCUUGUAAGUAUAAUUAGGGGGGUAUUAGGCUAUAGCAUAUUGCAUACAUGUGCAAUUAUUUCAUUUUUUCAUACCAUUUGCUACCACUUUCCUUUUCGGCUGAAAAAAAAGACCUGGUACGGUACACAGAUAUUAAAUUUAAUGAUUAUCCCUGAAAGAAUUGCUCUGAUAUUCACUGAAAAAUAAAAUUUUCCUUAUCUCUGUGUAUUUUAAUUUUAAAUUACCAUUUUUUCUGACCCAUAGGCUGAAUGGGGGUUAAUCACUGAAGGCUAUAAUUUAUAACAAGUAACGAAAUAACUCUUAAUCUGUGUAUUAAACCUGAAAGCAAUAUAAAUUUCAGGAACUGAUUCACUAAAGGUUUUUGGGAUCAAUAUGAACAUUGGAAUCACUGUGAAAGAUAAAAGUGAUCUGAACCAAUUCCAACUUGUCACAAAUGUUCACUGCACCUCAUUUCCACCAGGACACAGCCCACAGCUGAGCCCACAGCUGAGGCUAUGUCUGAAUGCGUAUACCAAGCUGGCCCUGUGUGAGCAAUGAGAGUAAAACUCAAACACGAUGAAAGUUUGAUUUUACUACAAAUGUGGUAAUUAUACCAGUCGACUGACUCUGACAGAAAUUCAGAUAUUAGGUGUUACUUUUCCUGUAUUCAGUGAAAUUUCAAUUUUAUAACACUAACAUAUAACCUACAAAAAAAUACAACCAAAAUAUCUGAAAUAUGAAGUCAUGGUCAAAAUUUGAGUCUAUUGAUUUUAGUGUGCUUAUGAAUAUUUAGUGUUAUAGUAAAUCAAUCCCUGCCAAAAGCAAUUUAAUGGACCAGUGUGUUGGGAUUUAAAUUAGGUUGGGAUGAAUAUUGAGCCCAGAAAAUUCUUUUAGGAAUGAUAUCACAGUAAAUCACUCCCAUGGUUUAAUCAUUGGUAAAUUUUUAGAAGACUCAACAUGUAAUAUUCAAAACAAAGUGGGAUAUAAGAUUUUGUUUUGGAGGGGUCGGGGGUUUGUAUAGACUAACAUUUAAUAGGAACUGAACUUUUAAUUAAAUACAUCACAACCAAUGCUGAUGAUUUCCACAGAAUUUGACCAGACAAGAGGCAAGUACGAUAGAAAUUGGGACAGCCCAUGUAAUUUUAAGAUUCUCCUGACCUGUUUGUCUAUCUCUGUGGAGUAAGAAAUUGGACUUGCAUCUGUUGAGACUGGCAAGAGAUCGAGGUUAGAAGAUUAAGCUUGGAUUAGCAGAUGGAUUUAUCGCUGCAACGCCAGGACAUUUUUAGGUUGAUCCAUUCACACAGAGUGGAUCAAACUUGGGAUAUUGUCAUUUCUUCAGCUUCCUUCACUUAAUCCGCCCACUUGAAUCUUCGACCAGUCCUGUCCAGUUUUAAAUAUGACUUGAUCUCUCCUGAUGAAAUGUUUGAUUCCAAGGAUGCUGCAAGAUUUUAUUGAAAUUAUGUUUCUGUGUUAGUAUUUUUUAUUGAAGAUUGAUUGGAGAAUUUUAGAAAAGACUUAAAGCAUAUAGUAGUAAAUUUGCAAAUAUUCACGAGGUUUGUUUUAAUGUGAUUUAUUUGUAGAAACGAGAAAGCCAAAUAUAAGAAAAUGUUCCAAAUAUUUAAAGGUGUUUGGUCUCAUGCUCAAAUUUUCAUGUAAAUUAUUGUGUUCAUCAUUCCUAGAUAUGAAGGGCCUUUUGAAACGGAAAGUGGCAUUUCAAACGGAAAAUCACGGAAAACGUAUUUUCCCUCAAAAGACACAGAAUAGCAACAGAAAUUACUCCGAAAUCACAACAAAAUGAGAAUAUUAAAUGGCCACAAAACCCUAGAAAACACGAUCUCACUUCGCUACUAUCAUGACAAUUCACACAUCGUGACUGCACUCGACAUCAGCACACUCGAUUGUACCCCGCACCGUACCCGUAUACCCGGCCGGCCGGGUUGGGCUUCACAUGCACACAUAUCAUUCAACUACACGGUCGUGUGUUGCUGCCCUCUACGUUUGAACAUGUAACAGCAUGAUAUCGUGGUCUUAAAAUCCAAGAUGGCGGAUUGGCAAAAGCUGUUGACUAAUCAUAACGAUGUCCAAAAAAACCCAAAAUUAUCGAUGAAAUAUCAUUUCACCGUGAAAUAAUGCUAAUAAUGUGAAAGGUGAGGAUGUAUGCAUGCUAAAUGGGUUUGUAAAAAUAUUUUAUGCACCCACAUAGAUCCGAUUAGAACGGAUUCUAUUGUGUUGUUGGUACAGUAGCAGAUACAAAUUUUGACCAGUGCGAGUGUUUGUACGUGUUGUGAUUUUGCUAUUCAAUGUGUAAACGGAAUUGUCACUUUUCCGUGUGUACAAAGUCUAUGGGGAAACAGAAUUUCCGUUUUCUGACAUGCUGAAAAGGAAUUUGAGAUUUUCUGAAACGGAAAAGGCAAUUUUUUGAAACGGAAAAUCACUGUCCCUAGAUAUGGUAAUGCUAUAAAAUGAGCAAAUAAGAACAGAGCAUUGUAUUGCAUAGGGAUAAAAACAAUUCAUUAAUUAGGAUUAUACAUCUAUUAUUUUGCGUGAUAAAUUCAUUUUUCCAUAAAGGAAAAAUCAGUAAACUUCAAGAAAAAGCAGCUUCUUUAAUCAAAUUUCUACAAAGUCAAAGAAAAAAUAUCAAUCUAAUUGUUUUCUGAUAAAUUUAGUAGUUUGAAACAGAUUUUUAGAGAUAUCGAAAUUCUUUUUUUUAAUAUCAUCCAUUUAACGUCUUGUUUUCAUAUUUACAAAAUGAAGAUAUGUGAUUUAGAACCAAGUUUUGAUCUCAAAGUCGAAAUCAAGAGGGAUUUUGAUCUUAGAAUAUUUUUGU